rnacentral:misc_RNA from 1 species
GUAGGUGAACCUGCGGAAGGAUCAUUAACAAAAUCUACAACACUCACCCUGUUGAAAUGUAUCAUCUAUGGUAGAAGCCUUCUUUUGCCUCUUCUCGAAGAGGGGAGGGAGGGGAGGUGUCUACCAUACAAGCGUAUGCUCUCUCAAUGAAUAGAUGGUCAAAGGGAUCGUAGCCUCUUACUUGGGUAGAGGCCAUGAUAAUGGUGACCUUUGAUCUAUUCAUGAAGGGUCCUUUAGCAGAGGGUAGGCA